UUUCUUUCCGGCAGUCAGUCCUUUUGGUGUUUUCUGCUGCAAGCCGAAGGCAUGAGAAUUCAGCAGUGUUAAACCUUGAGGUACUGGGACAUAAACGUACAGCCCAAAGACACGGAAUUUCAGUUCUCCUGGCAUUGCCUCACAUCUCUUACUGGACCAGAGGAUCUUUUUGAUAGGCCUUCAGCUUUGUUUUGGAGAAAUCAGAAGGCAAGACAUCCACCACUGUCCUGAUUAUUUUGUCCCUAUAGCUGAUAAGUCUUAACAAUUCACCAUCUGGUCAGAAAUAAAUGCUUUAUGGGGAAAAAAAAAAUACACUGUGACUUGGCAAGCGCUUUAGCAUUAUCCUAAAGAAUAUGCAGUGUGUAUUGCAAACUCAGAGAGAUCUGUAUUAAAACUAUAUCCUGUAGCUUUGCCUCUAAAGUUUCCCUAAAGAAUAGAGGAACUUUCCCCAGGAAGUGUUUUCAUCAGAUGCCAGAUGGGUAUUUGUUUCAGAAGAGCUGAGUAUAACAGAAUACCUGACUUAAGAUUUCACAAGAUAAGAAGUGCCUGGUUGGUGCUAAAGUUUUGUUUUUAAUUUGCUUUUUAUGAUGGGAGUUGCUGUCACUGGAAUUCUGAGCUGUGAUCAGGAGCAGAGCCAGGACAGAUAAGGCAAAUGCACUCUACUCUGAAAACUGACAAACUAGCAUAGCUGAGCAGUCGCUAAUACUGGAGACAGAUCUCUUUCAGGCACUAGUUCAAGCUGAAUUUAUUCCCAGUCACCUCCAAGGAAGACAAGCUAAAAAUGGAAUGCCCCACAAUGAUAUAUGACUGUUAGAAGUUUAUAAUCUAUGUGCCCACAGUUUACUGGAAGGAGGAAAUAAGAGAAGGGGAAACAAUACAACUUUCCUCUGCACAUGUGCAUGCCAACAUGUACACAUGCUAAUACAGAUAUAAGAAUUCUAUUUAUAAACAUAAGAACUUACAUAUUUCAGUGUACGUUACAAUGCAUUUUAGAUUUUGUCAGAAAAAGAAGUCCCAAUUAACUGAGUUUAAUGAAGCAGAGAAGACCAGAACUCACUGCAGCUUUGUGUUUGCUUCACCCAUAUAGCAGUGUAGCUUCUUUGGGAAGGAAACAAUGGGCCAUUUCAUUGUACGUUACCUAGCACAGUGGUUCUAAAUACUCCAGUAUUUUACUUUGGUUUAAUCAAUGUAUGGUCAUGAAGUUUUUAGUUCUCCAAGCUGUUAUAAAUUGUACUAGAAACUGCAUUAAUCCAUGAAUCCUGUAAAGUUGAUGAAAACUUAGUAUUAGGCAGUCCUGAGCCUGAAACUUAUGUUUAUUUCGGCUUCCUGGACUUGGAACUUAUAGCUGAUGUACUACUUUAUUGGAAAGCAAUAGAAGAUCUUGUACUUCCAUGUAGAAGAGAGACCAAGAGUGAGAAACAGCAACUAGAUGCUUAAAUGGAAACAUCUGCAUAUGCAAUUAAAAUAGCUAUGUCUCCAAAUAGCAUACAGACAAAUCUGCAUCUGUAAUGUAAAUAGAAGGAGAAGCGUGAUUGGGAUGGACCAAAAACUUGGUUUUUAAUGUUCUGUGCAUAUAUCUUUUAUGUUGGAGUGUGUUUAGCUUUAAUCCUACCAUAGAGGGGGAAGUCUGUUUUUAAUUUAUCAGUAUAACAUUUUAUAAUUCUUUUGUUCUAAGGGACCCCCUUUUUCCACUGCACAAUGAAAGCAGAAAUCUUGCAAACAGUGUAUUUAUCUGUCUUCAGGGGCUGAGGGUUAAUAUCCAAUAGCUCAUAACAUCUUUAUUACAAUGCAUUUAUAAUGAUUUACUGAAAUGAUUCUGUAGCUAAGUAUCUAAUGUCAAAGACUAGAUUUGGCGUGGUAGAAAAUGUCUUAUCCUUGGGUAGCUCUAGGGAAAAUAAGGCCACAGCCACUGCUUUCUGUGUAAUUCUACAAACUGUAAUAAGGAUGGGGUAAUUGCAUUAAUGUCAAUUAAGCUAUUAAUAAUGCCCAUCCUGUCAUUCCUAAAUAAAGCAGUCACUCAUACAUAUUAUUGUCGCCUGUAAAGACUGUACAUAAAUGAGAUCAUAGCUUAUUUAUGAUUUCAAGUCUGACUGAUAGCCAGUCUUGUAUCUCUUGUGCAACACUUCAAAUCUAUUAUUUUGGAGAGAAACAACCUGCAAUCCUUGAAGAAGCCAUGUUCUAAGCUGUGAUACUGAUUACCCCAAAAUGCCAGCAGGGCACUGUGUGUUACUUUCAUUCAUGCCAGAGGAAACUUUGUCAUGACUGAGAAGAAAGAUCUUUAGAACAAUACUUGCAACAUGUCUGUGCACCCAAGCAAAAAUUUCAGCUCUGUUGAUGACUUGAAGUUUCCUGUCUAAUAGGCCAUAAUUUAAUACUGUCCUCACUAACUAUCUUCUGUAGGCUACUGUAUUUUGGUUGCAUUUGUGAAACAAAGAUCAUUUUCUAGUGCC
ensembl:lncRNA